AGCGAACGCUGGCGGCAGGCCUAACACAUGCAAGUCGAACGAAGUCUUCGGACUUAGUGGCGGACGGGUGAGUAACACGUGGGAACGUGCCUUUAGGUUCGGAAUAACUCAGGGAAACUUGUGCUAAUACCGAAUGUGCCCUUCGGGGGCAAGAUUUAUCGCCUUUAGAGCGGCCCGCGUCGGAUUAGCUAGUUGGUGAGGUAAAGGCCCACCAAGGCGACGAUCAGUAGCAGGUCUGAGAGGAUGAUCAGCCACAUUGGGACUGAGACACGGCCCAAACUCCUACGGGAGGCAGCAGUGGGGAAUCUUGCGCAAUGGGCGAAAGCCUGACGCAGCCAUGCCGCGUGAAUGAUGAAGGUCUUAGGAUUGUAAAAUUCUUUCACCGGGGACGAUAAUGACGGUACCCGGAGAAGAAGCCCCGGCUAACUUCGUGCCAGCAGCCGCCGUAAUAC
rnacentral:rRNA from 1 species